GACGAACGCUGGCGGCGUGCCUAAUACAUGCAAGUUGAGCGCUGAAGGUUGGUACUUGUACCAACUGGAUGAGCAGCGAACGGGUGAGUAACGCGUGGGGAAUCUGCCUUUGAGCGGGGGACAACAUUUGGAAACGAAUGCUAAUACCGCAUAAAAACUUUAAACACAAGUUUUAAGUUUGAAAGAUGCAAUUGCAUCACUCAAAGAUGAUCCCGCGUUGUAUUAGCUAGUUGGUGAGGUAAAGGCUCACCAAGGCGAUGUUACAUAGCCGACCUGAGAGGGUGAGCGGCCACAUUGGGACUGAGACACGGCCCAAAGUCCUACGGGAGGCAGCAGUAGGGAAUCUUCGGCAAGGGACGAAAGUCUGACCGAGCAACGCCGCGUGAGUGAGGAAGGUUUUCGGAUCGUAAAACUCGGUUGGUAGAGAAGAACGUUGGUGAGAGUGGAAAGCUCAUCAAGUGACGGUAACUACCCAGAAAGGGACGGCUAACUACGUG
rnacentral:rRNA from 1 species